GACGAACGCUGGCGGCGUGCUUAACACAUGCAAGUCGAACGGAAAGGCCCUGCUUUUGUGGGGUGCUCGAGUGGCGAACGGGUGAGUAACACGUGAGUAACCUGCCCUUGACUUUGGGAUAACUUCAGGAAACUGGGGCUAAUACCGGAUAGGAGCUCCUGCUGCAUGGUGGGGGUUGGAAAGUUUCGGCGGUUGGGGAUGGACUCGCGGCUUAUCAGCUUGUUGGUGGGGUAGUGGCUUACCAAGGCUUUGACGGGUAGCCGGCAUGAGAGGGUGAACGGCCACAUUGGGACUGAGAUACGGCCCAGACGCCUACGGGAGGCAGCAGGGGGGAAUAUUGCACAAUGGGCGGAAGCCUGAUGCAGAAACGCUGCGUGCGGGAUGACGGCCUUCGGGUUGUAAACCGCUUUCGACUGUGACGAAGCGUGAGUGACGGUAAUGGGUAAAGAAGCACCGGCUAACUACGUG
rnacentral:rRNA from 1 species